GACGAACGCUGGCGGCGUGCUUAACACAUGCAAGUCGAACGGAAAGGCCCUGCGUUUGUGGGGUGCUCGAGUGGCGAACGGGUGAGUAACACGUGAGUAACCUGCCCUUGACUUUGGGAUAACUUCAGGAAACUGGGGCUAAUACCGGAUAGGAUCUCCUGCUGCAUGGUGGGGGUUGGAAAGUUUCGGCGGUUGGGGGUGGACUCGCGGCUUAUCAGCUUGUUGGUGGGGUAGUGGCUUACCAAGGCUUUGACGGGUAGCCGGCCUGAGAGGGUGACCGGCCACAUUGGGACUGAGAUACGGCCCAGACUCCUACGGGAGGCAGCAGUGGGGAAUAUUGCACAAUGGGCGGAAGCCUGAUGCAGCAACGCCGCGUGCGGGAUGACGGCCUUCGGGUUGUAAACCGCUUUCGCCUGUGACGAAGCGUGAGUGACGGUAAUGGGUAAAGAAGCACGGGCUAACUACGUG
rnacentral:rRNA from 1 species